rnacentral:rRNA from 1 species
AAUAGAAACAUUCAGGAAUUAAAUUAGUUAAACUAAUAAAGUUUGGCAGUUAAAAUUAAUUAGAGAAAUUUGUUUUGUAAUCGUAAAUUCUCGUUAAAUUUAACUUGUAGCAAAAACCUAUAUACCGCCGUUUCUGAAAUAAAAAAAACAUAAUAUCUAAAUAAGCAUAACAUUAAAAAAUCAGGUCAAGGUAUAGUCAACCUAAAAGUAAAAAUUAAUUACACAUAAAAACAAUUUAAGGAAAUUUUAUUAAAAUAUCUUAGAAAAAGAAUCUAAAAACAAAUAAUAAUUAAAAAUUACUUUUGAAACACUAUAUUUUAAUGU